GGUGGGUUUCAAAGCCAUUCCUGAGUAACUGACGCUCGCUUGCCAUCGGCCCCCUUGGCAUGGCCUUCUCAUUCUACCACAAUGGAUUAAGAAAAAUAUGAUCUGAGGGAAGAGGAUCCUUUCACAGGGCGUCCUCGUGAAAGAAUCACCCCAACCGAGAAUUUAAGUUCUGAGUUCUCUGAGAGAGCAAGAAUCCUCAUGCUUAGACCAGCAUCCCAGUUCUAAGCUGUGGCAGGAUUAUGAAAUUGACCUGUUUGGAAGGGCACACAAGAAGCAGCCUCAUGGAUUCUGAAUCUAUAUGUGCUGAGCAGAUGUCAUUGAAGUCUACUGAGUAAUCUUUAAAGCUGAGUGCUAUAAGAUCUUUGCUUGGUGUGAGAAACUCUUUUUACAAUGAAAACCACAUAACUGACUUUUCUUUUGAGUUGUGGUUUACAGAAACCUGAAAGCCAACUUAUUUUCCACUUCUGGCCAAUUAUAUCAGACAGUAUUGCUUAAGUAUUUGUGGGAGUGGUUAUGUGUGUGUGUGUGUGUGUAUAAACGAGUACUUUCACUUUUAUAUUGCCCUAAUUUCUUAUUUAGCCUUGAUAUUAUGUGUUGCCUAAAAACACCCUCAAAUUUUUCAAAGUCUCAAAGCAUGGGGAAAUAUGUUUUAAAAAUACUCUAUUUUGAAAUAUCAUAAACUGAUUUACUUGAAUCUGCUUAAAAACAGGCCCUAAAUUGCUUGUAAGAGUCAUUGGGAAACACUCAAGGAACAGACACAAAGCCCCAAGACUAUAAAGAUUUAACAAUUGUUAAGGAUAAUAGGUUUUUCAAGUGAGUGGAAAUAGGCAAAGUCCUUUUCAAAGAAUCAGGAGUAUUCAUUGCUUACUAUUCCCACUGAGGGCCAGCUUUUUAGCACAGAACUUCCAGAAUUUCAAACUAUUUGCCAACAGAGCAGGUGAAAACAAGACUGUGAACAGUAUCUACUAUGUAACAUCCAUAGACUUGGCUGCCAAACUCUAUUGAAACUAAAUUGUAAGAAAGUCUGUGCUGUGGAAGGAGCUUCUGUUUUCUAAGUUUUCAGGCAACUGCAUGCAAGUUCCAGAUCUGAGUACUUUCUCUUCUGUUGCUAGAAUGCCAUUGUCAUGUCAACAUCAUGUAACUGAGCAAAGUGAAGACUUGGCAAAUGUCUCUGUAUUUUCAUUUUAACAAAGACAUAUCACAUCAAUCAGGCCCAAAAUGGAUAGUGUUUUUCUCAUUAAAUGUAGUUAAUUUUCCUUCAAGUCACCAAAGCCAGGGGAUAAUUAUUAGAGCAUUAGUUGACUUGAUGUUGUUACUUGAACUCAGUAAUAAAUGAUGGUGUGAAUGAGCUAAUCCAUUCUACAUGCUCUCAUGCCCCUUCCAAAAUAAAUCCAGUAUCAAAUAAGAGUAUAUUACCAGCUUAAAGUUGAGGUAGUUUUCAUCAGAAGCAGAAACAGGAAGAUGAUAAGAAUUUUGCAGUUAGUUUCUCAAGCAUUUUAAAUAUUCUGUUGCAAGAGGAGCUUUGAAUUCUCUCAUUUGAAUCUUUGCCCAUAGUAAUUUUCAGAGGUAUGCUAUAACUAUUAGGAUGGAAGAUUGUGUGAUGUAAUGAAAAGAACAUGGAUGCUGGAGUAAGAGAAGUCUCAGUUUGUCUGAACAAUCAUCUAUGAAAUGAAGAUAAUAAUAACAACUUUGGAUGAUUUUAAUGAAUUAUAUUUUUAUUAGUAUAUGUCAUAUGUCUGAUCUAUAUCUAUGUAAUAUGUCUAUAGUAAAUGCUCAACACAAUGGUGGCUGCUGUUUUCCCUUAAGUUUUUUUGUAUAUAUGUGUGAAUGCAUGGUUAUUUAAUAAAAGCCACUGCAUUCUUAUCUGACUUUAAUGACUCCAUGCAGGUAUUUCAGUGUGCAGUGACUUGCAAAAAUUGCUUCUCGUGUGAAUUGAAAACCUAGAAACUCUUCAAAGCAAAGAUUUCUCCAUUAGUUGUGAAAUAGACAUGUCUUACAGAAACUGUUAGCAGAAUGGUUGAUUAGUAACAAAAAUUGAUCUAUUUGCCACUAAGGACAGUAUUUGGAAGUUAAAAGCCUCCACCCCAAGAAUAGAUUUCCAAUCUUCUAGUUACACACAAAGUGCUCAGAGAUUGUAUCUUAUCUUUUCUAUUAAAAAAACAACUCUAGAAAUCUAUAUUCAUUAAUCAACUAGAAAGCAGGUUUUGAGACUCCUUCUCUUGAAUAAUAAAUUAAUUGAGGGAAUAGGGGUGCGUAUUGGAACCUCCAAAGUGUCCAUGUGUCGGAAGCAUGCCUAAUCUCAUACUGGAAACCUUAGCCUGGUGUCACUAUGCAUGCUGGAAGCCGUGGUACUUUGGUGUGGAAAACAGAAGUUCUUCCUUUUGAGGCUGUAAAUGUUUCUCAGGAAGCAGAAAGCACAUCUCCAGUGUUUAAGUGUUUAAACCAAUGGAUUUCAUCUACAGCCUACAGCCGCAUAUGAGAAUUUCCUGGAGAGAUUUUAAAAACACAAAACCAAAUAGAUCAGAACCUCUGGAUAUAGGGACCAGGUACAGCAUAUUUUGAUUUAAGCCAGUGGAUCUGAAGUUAGCAUACAUCAGAAUCACUUGGAGGGCUUGUUAAAACACAGAAGGCAACUGCAUUUCUAAUAUGGUGCUUUUACAUUGUGUAGGUGCUCUAGAAAUUUCUGCUGAAUGCAUAUUGCUAACUUUCCAUUUGAAAACAAAAUUGUUUAACAAGGUUGAUUAACUGGCAUCCAUGGAUGGGCACCAUGGACCUUGAGCUUCUGAAGUAGACAGCACUAUUUCAUGGGAGUGUGCCUAUGAAGAUAGUUCCUCACUUUCAUCAGGUUCUUAGAAAUGUGGACCUAGAAAUUUCAGGCACUAGAAAUGUGACAAAUCACUCUUAGGGGAAUUAAAUAUCAUUUUACUUAUGUCUUUGUCUUCACUAAUAGAACAAAGGAAAAAAGUACUCUUGUUUUCAAAAAAAGCAAUUUUAGUAUUGGCAAGCAUGGAAAGCAUUUUAUUUUGUUAAAAAUAAUAGGCCAGGGGGAUGGUGUUGUGGCACAGCAGGUUAAGCCUCACCUGUUAGAGCUAGUAUCCCAGGGCUGGCACUGUGGUGCAGUAGGUUAAUCCUCCGCCUGCAGCACUGGCAUCCCAUACGGGCGGCGGUUCUAGUCCCAGCUGCUUCUCUUCCAAUCCAGCUCUCUGCUGUGGCCGGGGAAAGCAGUAGAAGAUGGCCCAAGUGCUAAGGCCCCUGCACCUGGGACGAAGCACCUGGCUCCUGGCUUCAGAUUGGCACAGCUCUGACCGUUGCAGCCAUUGGGGAGUGAGCCAGCGGACAGAAGACAUUUCUCUCUGUUUCUCCCUCUCACCGUCUGUAACUCUACCUCUCAAAUAAAUUAAUAAAAUCUUAAAAAAAAAAAAAAGCUAAUAUCCUAUAUGAGCACCAGUUCCAGGUCCUGGCCGCUCAACUUUCCAUGCAGCUGUCUGCUAAUAUGCCUGGGAAAGCAGCAGAAGAUAGCCUAAGCACUUGGGCCCCUGCACCCACCUAGGAGACCGGGAUGGAGUUCCAGGCUCCUGGCUUCAGUCUAUCCCAGCCCUGGCUGUUGCAGCCAUUUGAGGAGUGAGCAAGCAGAUGGUAGAUUCUCUCUCUCUCUCUCUCUCUCUCUUUCUCUUUCUCUCU